GCCUGACGGGCCUCGUACCCAGAGUCUUGGAUUGCAGACAGACAGAUGUACGUGGGCGACACACACACACACAGACGAAGAGACAGAGAGAGGUGGUGGGGAAACACACAGAAGAAGAGGCAUGUAUUCACAGAUGCUUAGAAGCCAAGCCCCGGGGAGCUUGUGAGAACCAAAGAAACGAGAGGAAAUAACUACAAAUCCAGAGGCAGCAAAGGAGACCGACAACUAGAGAUGCUCUGAUAGACGCCAAGACACAAGAGUCCUCACAUACAGUCACAGGAGCCUCCCGUGCUGCCGAGCACCAGCUGCUGCCACACAGGCUGCACCCUUGGCUAGGUCCCCAGGCGCUUCUGUCCCUUCUCCCAGACCCCAGACCCUGCAGGAUGCCAUCUUCCCUUCCCUCAGGCUUCCAAAUCAGUGGCUCUUUUCCUUAGUGACCCAGAAGACAGACACCAGAUUUAGACAGCCAGGAAGCAGGGGACCCUGUAGUCAGGGGUAGAGACGGGCAAAAUCAUGGCAGGUAGAGCCCUAGAACCGAAACUGCUUGGCAACAAGUGUCCCAUAACCUGCAGCUGAUGAAGAGCCACCUGAAGGCCCACAUCAGAACCAGAUGGUCCCGGGCCCCGAGCUUGACACCCCAGCACAGAGUGGGCCACACGGCACCAGGGGGAGGCGAAGCGGCGGGGGGACGACGGACAGGGUCCAUCCUGCGGGAAGCUCACCUGGAGUCAUAGGAGAGGCUGGUGGAAGCUGAACCGGAGGUGCUGGCGGCGUCCGUGGAGUCCACGUCGGAGAAGAAGGUCUGGCCCGAACUGGCGCUGCGAGGGGGGAGAGGCACCCGUUCGAGCCUCCUAACAACCACGCGGAAACAGGUGGGAGGUGCAGAGAGGCUGGAGGACCCUGACGCCGCAGUCAGUAGUUGAGCCUUCCUUCAUUGCCAGGGAAUGGAGGUCUCACUGCUUGCCUCUACCCCACGCUCCAGAACAGCCCUCUCUGCCGGGUCCCUCGUUGGUACCUUUUCAAACUCUGAAUUUCGUCCAGCGAGAAGUCAAAUAUGCUGGCCAGGUGGUGGUUGGUGCUCCAGGCUGAGGUAAAGUCACUCUGUGAACACAGGAAGGAGCAGGAGGAUGGGUCAGUGAGCAUCAGACCCGCCCCCCACAGCACCCUCUCUCUGCUGAGGGCCACACAGGGUUUCUGAGGGCUGGGCCUCCCGAAGGUUAGACUCGUCACUCGCUCUUUAUUCUGUCUGACCAGGGAGCCACAUCAGACCGGUUCUAGCCCUGUCCCUAGCUGAGCACAUGGCCUUCCCAACUCUGGGCCGCAGUUACCUGAACCGCAAAAGGUGGCCAGCGACACCUGCCGUGCUUCCCUGGUAGAGGUGUUGGGAAGCACAGAAGAAUGAGAUGUUGGCUGUAAAAGCAACUUGCUCGCUGUCAGGUGACAGGGAGGUGUGAGCAUCGCUAGUAUUCGUCCUCCAGGGAGGGCUGCAGCAAGGAUGCGGGGCCAAGGGAAGACUGCUCCGGAGCCCUGGGUCUGGCUGGGCUCUGCCACUGGCUGAGGUGUGACCUCAGGAAAGCCACUGUCCCUCCCUGGCACUCAGUGUCCCCACUGGACUGUGGAGGUGAGGAUAUUACCUACCCUGCCCCGCCCCCUUUGGCUUCUCAGGAGAGUUUGGGGAGAGAAAGCAGUCGUGGGAGAGUGUAGGGAGAGAAAGUGGUGGUCUCAAAGUGCCUGGUUUUUGCUUGUUUUGCUGCAGAAGGAACUGGCUUCUCCUUUAAGGGAUGUGGGAGAGUCCCUGGGGCCUGGGUGCUUAGUUUCCUGCAUAGGAAUCCCUAAUUAAUGUGCUGACCCUGUGUGUGAACGUGGAGAGCAAGAAAACAAGAAACUAACACUGGGAAUAGCAUCUUCCAGCAAAAACUUUGAUCUUUUUCUUCUAUAAACUCGCCUUUUCUGCUGCUGGAAUUCGUGAGGCAACAAACUGUGGAGACAGAAAGGGGAGAGGGUGGCUGGGUCAGAGCCUGAAGGCCCGGAGGAAGGAGAGGCAGGGCUGGGGUCACAGCAGGGCGGGUAGGGACAGGCGCUCCUUCACAGGGCCGUCUGGGGAGGGCACAUCCUCCAGGCAGCAGGUGUAGGAGGGUGCGGAGGGGGGUGUGGUGGGCAGAAAAGAGGGAAGGAUGUUCUGCCCUGGGCGCCCAGGAUGAGGGGCUCAGCUUGGCCAGGAGAGCUAGGGACCCCGUACACACUCUCGCUUCCUCUUCCCUCUCUGCCUCAGCUCUAACCCGGCAAGACGGGGCCUCACGAUCUGCCUUUCCCUCCAAGCAAGGCAACAGGGGCCGCGGUGGAAGAAAUCCCAGAUGGGGGAUCAAGUCCAGCCGCUGACUGGCCCUCCCAGGGUGCCUCCAGCUGGGCCUAACCAGGUGGAGUUCUUCCCUGCUCGCUUGGAUGUCACUGUGGUCUCUGGGCCCACCGCACAGCACAUAGGCUGGGGCUGGAGCCGGGAGGAGCGGAGACCCCGAGCUCGGUCCCCAGGCACUGACCC